UGUUUUGAUAUAAUACAGAUUUGUAGCUUUUUAUAAGUAACUGAAGACAAAUGCAGGCCAUUAAUAAAUGGACAAGGCAACAUGGCACCCCACUGAAAGGACGGAAGACAACUCACUGCAACUGCUUCUUCAGAUGCACAAGAGUAUAUCGAACAUGAAACCUUUGUCAUAUUCACCAUUGUUUUAGCUCCACCAUAGAUGUCUACGCUAUUAUUCCCUGGAAAAAAAGAUGAGCUUGUAUAUUAGGGCCCAGCCUGCUUAAACCAUGUAUGUCUCGUCCUUCUUCCUCCUGAAACCAACAACAAAGUGAAGAUCCCAACAUGUACUGUACUGUAUACUGACCUCACAGAAGUGUUCAGCAAAGUCACUGUACCAAGGUUACCAAAUCAGUGACCCUGGAACUAUACCUUUGAGCUUCUGACAGAGCAUAUUACUACAGUGCUAUAGUACUCUGUCCUCUUCCGUCUAUGGUUUCUGAUGUCAUGAUGCAAAUCCAGGCUGCUGUGUGUCCAUGCAGUAUUUAUGUGCAGCUGAGCUGAGUGGAGCGAUCAAGUCUCAUCAACACUCACCAUGAAGAUCCCACUCUCCUUAUUCCUGCUACUAAUCAGCCUCAUAGGUAUUCAGUCUCAGAAUCUUGAGCCUAUUCCCACUGGUUCAGUGGUGAAAAAACCUGGAGAAACUCUGAGUCUUUCCUGUAAAGGAUCUGGGUUUAACUUUAGUGGCUAUGGCAUGUACUGGAUCAGACAAGAAGUUGGAAAAGCUCUAGAAUGGAUUGGGGUUAUCUGGUCUGAUGCCAGUAAAACAAUAUACGCCAAAGACAUCGAGGGACGUUUGGAAAUUACCAGAGACAACUCCAAAAACAUGGUGUAUCUGCAGCUGACCGGUUUGAAUGCCCAGGAUUCUGCUGUUUAUUACUGUGCUAGAAACCACAGUGGUACAUACAGUUAAUCAAUCAUCCAAAAUCUCAGAUGUGGUCAAAGAGAAAAGUGUAUUCAAUGUAGAGGUUAUUUUCACAAGAUCUGUAGGUGGCGCUACAGCUUUACAAAUAUCCUGUAACAUUGUAGGUUUCAUUAAAGUACAACAUAUUCUUAUAUCCUCAGUCACAACUAGAUACUCCACAAUUUCUAAGUCUUUCUGUGAGACAUUGAAC